rnacentral:rRNA from 1 species
GACAGAGGGUGCAAACGUUGCUCGGAAUUACUGGGCGUAAAGCGCAUGUAGGCGGCUCCGUAAGUCGGAUGUGAAAUCCCUCGGCUUAACCGAGGAAGGGCAUUCGAUACUGCAGAGCUAGAGUAUCGGAGAGGGUCGUGGAAUUCCUGGUGUAGAGGUGAAAUUCGUAGAUAUCAGGAGGAACACCGGCGGCGAAGGCGGCGACCUGGACGAAUACUGACGCUCAGAUGCGAAAGCGUGGGUAGCAAACAGG